rnacentral:miRNA from 1 species
UGAGUACCACCAUGUCUGUUGGA